AAGAAUUUUCAGGAGAGAAACCCAAUUACAGUUGAUCAACUUCAGCUGUGCCACCUACACAUGAAAAGGUUUUUAAGCAUCAGAUAGUGAUUGCAUUUUCAGGUAGCAACAGGAGCCAUGGGUUGUGUUGGAAUCCUGUUCACUUGUGUGGUGGCUGUGUGCCUUCACAAAGGAUCAAGUUGGCUGCUCGCUAGAGAUGGUGUGCAAAAGAUUCAAGACGAAUUGUCAGAAAAUUCUAUUUCUCUGAAGA